GAUGAACGCUAGCGAUAGGCUUAACACAUGCAAGUCGAGGGGCAGCAUAAAUGUAGCAAUACAUUGGUGGCGACCGGCGCACGGGUGAGUAACGCGUAGGCAACCUACCCAUAACAGGGGGAUAACACGGCGAAAGUCGUGCUAAUACCGCCUAACACAGGGGUCCCGCAUGGGAAUAUUUGUUAAAGAUUUAUUGGUUAUGGAGGGGCAUGCGUUCCGUUAGGUAGUUGGUAAGGUAAUGGCUUACCAAGCAAUCGAUGGAUAGGGGUUCUGAGAGGAAGGUCCCCCAGACUGGUAAUGAGACACGGACCAGACUCCUACGGGAGGCAGCAGUGAGGAAUAUUGGUCAAUGGGCGAGAGCCUGAACCAGCCAAAUCGCGUGAAAGAUGACGGUAUUAUGUAUUGUAAACUUCUUUUAUUAGGGAAUAAAGUGCAGGACGUGUCCUGUUUUGUAUGUACCUAACGAAUAAGCAUCGGCUAACUCCGUGCCAGCCGCCGCCGUAA
rnacentral:rRNA from 1 species